rnacentral:rRNA from 1 species
GACGAAGGGGGCUAGCGUUGUUCGGAAUUACUGGGCGUAAAGCGCGCGUAGGCGGCUCUUCAAGUCAGGCGUGAAAGCCCCGGGCUUAACCCGGGAAUAGCGCUUGAUACUGUUGGGCUUGAGUCCGGGAGAGGAUAGUGGAAUUCCCAGUGUAGAGGUGAAAUUCGUAGAUAUUGGGAAGAACACCAGUGGCGAAGGCGGCUAUCUGGACCGGAACUGACGCUGAGGCGCGAAAGCGUGGGGAGCAAAC